rnacentral:lncRNA from 1 species
GGAUUUGAACUUAGUUUGGACUAUUCGGAUCCAUGUUUUGAAAACUGAAAUCCAUGUGGAUUUACUUGAUUGGAUCGGAUCAAACCGAUCCAUCCAAAUGAACACUCCUACAUUAAAUCCAUAUUCGACAUUUAAUGAAUAAUACUAAAAAAUAGUAGCAAUCCUUCUUGAUUAGUUUGUGGAUUCCACACCUGUCAUUGAGAGAUAAUGUCCCGUUAUGUACUAACUUUUUACAGAUUUGCACUUCUAUUUCCCAUGCUUGCCAUUAUUUUUGUCAAUAUAAUUUUUAAACAUUAGUUAUUUAGAUUUUAGACAACGUUUAUUCAAUAAAAAAACAAGACCUUACUUCUGCACAUGAUAGUAAGCUAUAAUCUCCUCAACUCCUAAUAAAACCUGCAUCAUAAGAACAAUGAUGAUAAAUUAUUCUAAGCACUUAAUAAGUCAUUAGUCAAGAAAUAAAACAAAAUAAAAUGUGUUAAUUGUUAAAUGGGUAGUAAUAAUUAUUGAAGAAGAGAUUUAAGUACAAUCCACAUAAUUUAACAAACAUGUUACCCAAAUAUUACAAAUAUCAAAAAUCAAGAGCCCUAUCAUUUAUAUAAAGAUUACAGCCAUGAAAUUUUAGUUGAAUAAUUAGAGCUUAAUUAUUCAACAUUUCUCAACUGUUCUAGAAAAGAUGGAUUUACAAUGGGAAACACCUGCAUAACCACCACCACAAAUAAACUCCUCAACAAUUUUGAAAUAUUUUUUUACAAAUUUAUACAUAAAAAUAAACAAGAUGAAUUCACCUCAUGUAAUAAAUUGCUUCCUUAACUUGACAUGUAGAAAACUCACUUUAUUCUUGAAGGUAGAAUGAAAGAAAUUACCUGUAUUAACGAUUAAAGCAAUUAAAAAAAAGCUAAAUUUAAUGAGAGAAUCUCAAAAAGAAAAGGCAUAUGGGAUAACCGGAAAUAUGGCAGAGUACUUUAAUUGAUUUGUUGAUUAUUAUAAUUUAUAGCAUCUUACUUUCAUUUCUCUUAACAAUUACAGAAAUCCCAUCCAAAUACAUAGCUGUUUUCACUGAUGUAAUUGUGUAAACUAAUCGAACUAUGAUGUCACAAUAAGAACAUAAAAAAAAUGGAAGUACAAAGUUAUGAUUUUUUAGAUUUCUUAAUAAAAAUGCAGAUUUUACCUUAUCUAUAAGUUGCAACGAUCCAUUAGUGGGAUGAGAUAUCUCAUUCUGACACUUUCAGCCCCGUUCCCAAACCCAUAACUAUUCGUGUCAUCCUAUCUCUAGCUCUUCCCCACAACUGGACCCUACGCCAACUUAAUGUCAAUAAUGCAUUUCUUCACGGGACACUUCAUGAAGAAGUCUUCAUGAAUCAACCACCAGGUUUCAUUCAUCCUCAAUUUCCUAAUCAUAUCUGCAAACUACGAAAAUCUCUUUCCAGCUUGAAAUAAGCAACACGGGCAUGGGACAUAGAGUUGACAUUUAUCCUUCUUACUUGUGGUUUUCACAAAUCACAAGUUGAUGUCUCUCUCUUUAUCUACAAUCAUGAUAAAAUAUUGUGCUUUUCCAUGGUAUAUGUUGAUGAUAUAGUUCUCACUAAUAACGACAACAAUUUCAUCACUCACUUUAUUGGCACCUUAUCAAAUCGGUUUCCUAUCAAAGACUUGGGACCCCUCCAUCAUUUUCUUGGAAUUGAAGUUAUUCCCACUAUUAAUGGCCUCUUCCCAUCCCAACAUCGUCAUACUCACUUUAUUGGCACCUUAUCAAUUCGUCAACUCACCGAAUCACUUGAAUGACUCGUCGAGUUCCAUAAUGUUUGCAGCAGUAAACCCUCAACCGUAAACUCCUGACCGAGAACCCUUUGGCCGUAAACCCCUUGGCCGACUCGUCGAGUUGAUUAAAGGACUCGGCGAGUCCCUUUAGUCCUUCCCGUGUUCGGUCCUUUACAGUGGAAACCGAGGCUCCAAAUCACAGAUCCAACCACUUUUGGUGUAGUUACCACGUAAAGUUGCAAACUUUACGUGUUAUGAAAAGCAUCCAAGGCUAGAAACACUUAAUAAAAGCUUGAAAAGGGACUUAAGCAUGAAGGGGGGCCAAGACUCGAUAAAGUUGGCAACUUUAAGUCCCCAAAGGCCCUGAGAUAUCCAGAUCUAAAGCCAUAUGCUCAUAACAAACUCAAAUCCAAGAAUGAUCUCAAACCAUGCUAACAAUGGCCAUGAACUUCCAUAGAAGGAAAUCUAAGCAAUGAAAAGCCAAGGUUUCGACUUUAUACCUCAAAGUAGCUGCAACACUGGAGGAAAUCCCGGAUCCAUUCAGCACAACCUCUUCAAGCUUCAAGUUCCUUCCAAAAGAGCACUAAGAAUCACUAUCCAAGCUCACACACACUUAAAGAGAGAGAGGGGGCACGAACUAGGGUUUCUCUGGACAAAGUGGGGAAAUAAGGGAGGCUGCAAAUGAGACAUAAGUCCUUUAAAUAGGG